GAUGAACGCUGGCGGCGUGCCUAAUACAUGCAAGUCGAGCGAACAGACGAGGAGCUUGCUCCUCUGACGUUAGCGGCGGACGGGUGAGUAACACGUGGAUAACCUACCUAUAAGACUGGGAUAACUUCGGGAAACCGGAGCUAAUACCGGAUAAUAUAUUGAACCGCAUGGUUCAAUAGUGAAAGACGGUUUUGCUGUCACUUAUAGAUGGAUCCGCGCCGCAUUAGCUAGUUGGUAAGGUAACGGCUUACCAAGGCAACGAUGCGUAGCCGACCUGAGAGGGUGAUCGGCCACACCGGAACUGAGACACGGUCCAGACUCCUAAGGGAGGCAGCAGUAGGGAAUCUUCCGCAAUGGGCGAAAGCUUGACGGAGCAACGCCGCGUGAGUGAUGAAGGUCUUCGGAUCGUAAAACUCUGUUAUUAGGGAAGAACAAAUGUGUAAGUAACUAUGCACGUCUUGACGGUACCUAAUCAGAAAGCCACGGCUAACUACGUG
rnacentral:rRNA from 1 species